AUGCUCGCUUCAGUGGCACAUAUACUAAAAUUGGAACAAUACAGAGGAUAUGCAUGGCCCCUGUGCAAGGAUGAGUCAAAUUCAUGAAACAUUCCAUAUUUAG